CUCGUGCCCCCAGGCAGGAUUCCAACAGUGCAGAAGCCCCUAGUCCCCAAGUCCGGGGUGGCAGGGACGUCCAGCCUCCCCGGGGAGCCACCUUGGCCCUCCCUCCCUCCUGCUGGCUGGGUGCCGCGCUGCGGGGCUGCUCAGGUUCCGCUUCCCAGCGAUGUUUGCCAUGACUGCUGCGAGUUCUCCAACCUCGAGGCCACUCUCCUUUCCUUCCAAGGACGCCCAGAACCCGCUGCGUUGGCCUGUCGCCUCCGCACUGUAAGAUUCUGGCACCCAGGGUCCCGGCCCGCUCUCCUGGGGCCAAACGUUCCGGUUCCCGAUGCCAGGCUGCAGAAAAAAUGAGCACACUGAACACGUGGACUAGCACAUAAAUAAGGUUAUUACCUCCUUUUUAUUUUUUGCACACUAAUUAAUAAAUAAACUACUGCAACGGAAAAAGAGAAAGCAGGCAGAAUGCAAA
rnacentral:lncRNA from 1 species